CAUCUAAGUGUUGGGCUCCCUCAAGACUCAUGUCUGGGCUCUUUCCAUCGUCCUCUGUCUUCUCACCCUGGUGAUCACUAAUGACUCCAAUUCUAUGCCCCAGCCCUGCCCUCUCAAGGCUGGCAUGCUAACUACCCAGCUGUCAAGCUGCUUGGAUGCUUCUCACAGAGAAUUUGAACGUGACCUUUGUGACUUAGCCACAUCUCACUUUAGCCGGAUGUCACCGUGCCCGUGGCCAGGUCUCUGUCUCGUUCAUUUUGGAAUCAUCCCCAGCCUGGAGCAGCUGACCAGGGACGGCUGAAU
rnacentral:lncRNA from 1 species